rnacentral:rRNA from 1 species
GACGAACGCUGGCGGCGUGCCUAACACAUGCAAGUCGAGCGAGUGAAGUUCUUUCGGGAAUGGAUUUAGCGGCGGACGGGUGAGUAACACGUGGGCAACCUGCCUCAUAGAGGGGGAUAGCCUUCCGAAAGGGAGAUUAAUACCGCAUAAGAUUGUAGUACCGCAUGGUACAGCAAUUAAAGGAGCAAUCCGCUAUGAGAUGGGCCCGCGGCGCAUUAGCUAGUUGGUGAGGUAACGGCUCACCAAGGCGACGAUGCGUAGCCGACCUGAGAGGGUGAUCGGCCACAUUGGGACUGAGACACGGCCCAGACUCCUACGGGAGGCAGCAGUGGGGAAUAUUGCACAAUGGGGGAAACCCUGAUGCAGCAACGCCGCGUGAGUGAUGACGGCCUUCGGGUUGUAAAGCUCUGUCUUCAGGGACGAUAAUGACGGUACCUGAGGAGGAAGCCACGGCUAACUACGUGCCAGCCGCCGCGGUAA